rnacentral:rRNA from 1 species
AACGAACGCUGGCGGCAUGCCUAACACAUGCAAGUCGAACGAAGGCUUCGGCCUUAGUGGCGCACGGGUGAGUAACGCGUAGGAAACUGCCUAUUGGUGGGGAAUAACGACGGGAAACUGUCGCUAAUACCGCAUAAGCCCUUCGGGGGAAAGAUUUAUCGCCGAUAGAUGUGCCCGCGUCCGAUUAGCUAGUUGGUGAGGUAAUGGCUCACGAAGGCGACGAUCGGUAGCUGGUCUGAGAGGAUGAUCAGCCACACUGGGACUGAGACACGGCCCAGACUCCUACGGGAGGGAGCAGUGGGGGAUAUUUGACAAUGGGCGAAAGCCGGAUCCAGCAAUGCCGCGUGAGUGAUGAAGGCCUUAGGGUUGUAAAGCUCUUUCGGGUGGGACGAUGAUGACGGUACCACCAGAAGAAGCCCCGGCUAACUUCGUGCCAGCCGCCGCCGUAA